CCUACGGGAGGCAGCAGUGGGGAAUAUUGGGCAAUGGGCGCAAGCCUGACCCAGCAACGCCGCGUGAAGGAUGAAGGUUUUCGGAUUGUAAACUUCUGUCGCGAGGGACGAAGAAUGACGGUACCUCGUAAGAAAGCCCCGGCUAACUACGUGCCAGCAGCCGCGGUAAUACGUAGGGGGCAAGCGUUAUCCGGAUUUACUGGGUGUAAAGGGAGCGUAGACGGCGGUGCAAGCCAGAUGUGAAAGCCUGGGGCUCAACCCCGGGACUGCAUUUGGAACUGUGCUGCUAGAGUGUCGGAGAGGCAGGCGGAAUUCCUAGUGUAGCGGUGAAAUGCGUAGAUAUUAGGAGGAACACCAGUGGCGAAGGCGGCCUGCUGGACGAUGACUGACGUUGAGGCUCGAAAGCGUGGGGAGCAAACAGGAUUAGAUACCCUAGUAGUC
rnacentral:rRNA from 1 species